AGGAAUAUUGGGCAAUGCCCGCAAGGGUGACCCAGCAACGCCGCGUGGAGGAUGAAUGUCGUAAGAUUGUAAACUCCUGUUAGAGGGGAAGAAUAGUACCGGUUGGACCGGUAUAUGACUGUACCCUCAGAGAAAGCCCCGGCUAACUACGUGCCAGCAGCCGCGGUAAUACGUAGGGGGCAAGCGCUGUCCGGAUUUACUGGGCGAAAAGGGAGCGUAGGCGGAUACUUAAGUGGGAUGUGAAAUACCCGAGCUCAACUUGGGUGCUGCAUUCCAGACUGAGUGUCUAGAGUGCAGGAAAGGAAAGUGGAGUUCCUAGUGUAGCGGUGAAAUGCGUGGAGAUUAGGAAGAACACCAGAGGCUAAGGCGACUUUCUGGACUGUAACUGACGCGGAUGCUCGAAAGCGUGGG
rnacentral:rRNA from 1 species